GUUUGAUCCUGGCUCAGGAUGAACGCUGGCGGCGCGCUUAACACAUGCAAGUCGAACGAUGAAGCCCAGCUUGCUGGGUGGAUUAGUGGCGAACGGGUGAGUAACACGUAAGUAACCUGCCCUUAACUCUGGGAUAAGCCUGGGAAACUAGGUCUAAUACCGGAUAGGAGCGCCUACCGCAUGGUGGGUGUUGGAAAGAUUUAUCGGUUUUGGAUGGACUCGCGGCCUAUCAGCUUGUUGGUGAGGUAAUGGCUCACCAAGGCGACGACGGGUAGCCGGCCUGAGAGGGUGACCGGCCACACUGGGACCGAGACACGGCCCAGACUCCUACGGGAGGCAGCAGUGGGGAAUAUCGCACAAUGGGCGCAAGCCUGAUGCAGCGACGCCGCGUGAGGGAUGACGGCCUUCGGGUUGUAAACCUCUUUCAGUAGGGAAGAAGCGAAAGUGACGGUACCUGCAGAAGAAGCACCGGCUAACUACGUGCCAGCAGCCGCGGUAAUACGUAGGGUGCGAGCGUUAUCCGGAAUUAUUGGGCGUAAAGAGCUCGUAGGCGGUUUGUCGCGUCUGUCGUGAAAGUCCGGGGCUUAACCCCGGAUCUGCGGUGGGUACGGGCAGACUAGAGUGCAGUAGGGGAGACUGGAAUUCCUGGUGUAGCGGUGGAAUGCGCAGAUAUCAGGAGGAACACCGAUGGCGAAGGCAGGUCUCUGGGCUGUAACUGACGCUGAGGAGCGAAAGCAUGGGGAGCGAACAGGAUUAGAUACCCUGGUAGUCCAUGCCGUAAACGUUGGGCACUAGGUGUGGGGACCAUUCCACGGUUUCCGCGCCGCAGCUAACGCAUUAAGUGCCCCGCCUGGGGAGUACGGCCGCAAGGCUAAAACUCAAAGGAAUUGACGG
rnacentral:rRNA from 1 species